GUAUAGAUAUGAGUUUUGGUGCUGCUCUUUCUAGCGGUUCGUCCUUCUAUUUCUAUGCCUCAAGUGUAGCAGGCGGUCGGGACGAAGCCAGAGGAAACUCUGGUGGAAGUCCGAAGCGCCUCUGACGUGCAAAUCGAUCGUCGGAACCGGGUGUAGGGGCAAAAGACCAAUCGAGCCGUCUAGUAGCUGGUUCCCUCCGAAGUUUCCCUCAGGAUAGCUGGCGCCAGCGGGAGAACGACACGCAAUUCCGUCCGGUAAAGCGAAUGACUGGAGGGCCCCGGGGACGUUGACGGCCUCGAUCUACUCUCGAACUGUCCCGAUCGGAGGCGGCUGUAUAGCGCAAUGUAAGCCGAACUGGUGAUGUGCAAUGAACCGAACAUCCGGCUAA
rfam:Octopus bimaculoides Scaffold19421_contig_15, whole genome shotgun sequence.